UGUCUCCGCUGCUCCGCUGUUUGCCCGUGACAGCAGCUAGUCAUCAGAGUCAUCAGCCUCUGGAGUCGCCCUAACCUGAAUUAUUUGUUCCUCUCCCUGUUUCCACUGCGGCAACACAAGCUGUGUUCUUCCACCUCAAAUCUAUUAAUACCAGGCAGAGGUGUUGGGACCACAGAGAAAGUGCGGGCAUCUCUCAUCCUUAAAGGACAAGCAGAACGGCAGUGACUGAGAUGAAACACACCCGCCUCUUGCAUCUCACGUGUGUCUGGGUGGUGCACAGCUUGGAGGAGCAGCCGUGCAGAGGGCAGGCGUGCAGAGUAAGUUGGAGCCGAAAUGCCACCAAAUCCCGGAGAAAGAACUGAUGGUAUCUUUGGAAACCUGUCCAGCCAGUAUGAAGGGAGAGACGUAUAAAGCCUGCCUACAUACAAAGGUCUGAAAGUUCAGCAUCAGCAAGGCGAUACAUUGCUUCAGUUUCCUUUAUAAGUUUCCUGAUAACCUCAGCUGGUGUUGGAGAGUCCCAUAGAGUUCAAUGAGCGCUUGCAUAACAUUCUGUAAAUUGAAUUAUCUUUGCAUCAGUGGGUAAAGCACAGAGUAGCUGGGGGCAAAAGGUUGCAAAAGAAUAAAUCCAGUGGACCUGCUGUUCUUUCCUAAGCA
rnacentral:lncRNA from 1 species